CAACUUUCAACAACGGAUCUCUUGGUUCUGGCAUCGAUGAAGAACGCAGCGAAAUGCGAUACGUAGUGUGAAUUGCAGAAUUCAGUGAAUCAUCGAAUCUUUGAACGCACACUGCGCCCUUUGGUAUUCCAAAGGGCAUGCCUGUUCGAGCGUCAUUU
rnacentral:rRNA from 1 species